rnacentral:rRNA from 1 species
AAUCAACGCUGGCGGCGUGCCUAACACAUGCAAGUCGAACGCGAACGUUCCGCAAGGGACAAGUAGAGUGGCGCACGGGUGAGUAACACGUGGACAACCUGCCUGGGAGUGGGGAGUAACCUUCCGAAAGGAGGGCUAAUACCGCAUAAGACGGGAGGACCUAAGUUCUCCGGUUGAAAGGAGCAAUUCGCUCUCAGAGGGGUCCGCGCCUGGAUUAGCCUAGUUGGUGAGGUAACGGCUCACCAAGGCUGCGAUCAGUAGCCGUCCUGAGAGGGAGCACGGCCACACUGGAACUGAGACACGGUCCA